rnacentral:rRNA from 1 species
CCUACGGGAGGCAGCAGUGGGGAAUAUUGCACAAUGGGCGCAAGCCUGAUGCAGCCAUGCCGCGUGUGUGAAGAAGGCCUUCGGGUUGUAAAGCACUUUCAGCGGGGAGGAAGGCGUUAAGGUUAAUAACCUUGUCGAUUGACGUUACCCGCAGAAGAAGCACCGGCUAACUCCGUGCCAGCAGCCGCGGUAAUACGGAGGGUGCAAGCGUUAAUCGGAAUUACUGGGCGUAAAGCGCACGCAGGCGGUCGGUCAAGUCGGAUGUGAAAUCCCCGGGCUCAACCUGGGAACUGCAUUCGAAACUGGCAGGCUAGAGUCUUGUAGAGGGGGGUAGAAUUCCAGGUGUAGCGGUGAAAUGCGUAGAGAUCUGGAGGAAUACCGGUGGCGAAGGCGGCCCCCUGGACAAAGACUGAGGCUCAGGUGCGAAAGCGUGGGGAGCAAACAGGAGUAGAUACCCUUGUAGUC